GGAAGGGGGGGGGAGGCAAAUAAUGGCCCUUUAAUUGAACACAUCUACAUGUGUGUAUGUGUGGAAGGGAGAGGGACAAACUGUGCUCACUAUUAGCCCAUGCUGACUGCUAACAACUGUGCCGUGAAGGAGGAAAUUUGAAAGAUAAAAUGUUACAAUAAAUUACAAAUAUUAUAUAAGCAACAAAAUAACAAUAAGUAGUACCAUUAUGACUCAAUGUGCAAAACGUGAAAAAUAAAUAUGCAUAGGCUAUAGGCUUAUUUUUUUUUGCACCAGAGUUUUAGCAUUUCGUAGCGGUGUAUCUUUAAUUUCUAUUCGCGUGCCUUCAGACACACCUGGUACAAUUGAGCUAAUUAGUGACAUCACCGGCCUAAGCUAACAGCUGCGAAACCAAAGUUGCCCACAGUCCCUCGCUUUGAGACUUGGCUACAAUAAAAAUACAGUCCUCGUUAUGGUGAAAAAUGCAAAGCCGAGGCCAAGUUCGACUCUUUAAAAGAUGGAGAAAGAUUGCGACCGAAAGCAAAUGCGACAAGGCUGCUCUGAAAGCAGUCCUGCCAUUUCAAGCAUGAAAUAAAUCUCAUAAUAUCUGUGAAGCAUCAGCCGAUACUCCUGGGUCAGGAGCUGGUAAGGUGGUGGAAAGUGUUUACUGAGUGACCCAGCCAGAACACCGGGCUCCUGUUCCUCUGGGAUGGAAAACCAGACAGAAGAAUCACACAUGAUCUGCCGGAGAUGGAGCACAACCAGCAUAUUCUGACAGGAAAGAAACAAAGUGUGAGCCGUUUGUAAAAGCACCUCUCUGAUUUUGGUUAUGAUUUGACUCUCUCUCUGCUGCACUUGAGACUGACAGAGUCUAGAGGUUUUCCCUGGUGGUGAUAAGGUUUAGACGUAAUGCCUCAGUGAGCUCUUUUAGGAAACGCAGGCAGCAGCACAAUGAAGGUAAUCUGAGGCCCCUCUCUUAUCUUCAACCAAUUACUCUCACGUAAAUAUACAAACAACAAAAAAAAAAAAAAAAAGCAAAUAGCAAAGCACAUACUUGGCAUAACAAAAGAACAAUUCAUUUGUAUACUGCAAAUAUUUUUUUGCUUAUUUUAUCAAAUUUACCAGUCAUCGGUUUUUCUUUUCAUAUCUAAGAAGAUAAUAUUCAGGUUAUACAAUCUAAGAAAAAAUUCCAGUUAUUGACUUUAACUUGAUCAGAAAAAAUGAGACAGCAAUCAGAUAUGUCUUAAAGCUAUUUGACCAUGUUUUUUUUUUUAGAUUUAUAUGCCUUUUUUAACACUGGAUUAAAUGAAUUGACAACUGGAUAAUUCCUGUAUUGCUUUUGACCUACUGACCUGCAAAAGUCCAGCCCAGUUCAUAUUAUCAAGAGUCCCAUGGCCCAUCGCCCUCACACAUGUUACCCAAGAUCCCCAGCAGUAAGUGAGCACCGAGGACGAAAACAGCAACCUAAACCUGCACAGCUGAGGCAGAAUUCAUUACACGCCCCUCCUACAGCACUUACCUUGUGUGUCAGACUGACAUAGGAGAAGCUAGAGGAACAACAGGUUUACCUGCAUGAGAGGAACACCAUGUGGUUUAUGGACAUAUCUUUCCUUUGAACUAUAUGGGAUAGGAUUAAUGUGCAAAUACCAAAUGUGCUUGCACACCUGUUUUUAUUAGCACACCUGCUGUCUGCUGUUCAUUAAACUUUGUAAUCUUUCAGAA